GACGGCACCCUCACCAGGAGCUGCAUCGUGCCCGCCGCGGACUCGAGGGCGUCGCUAACGGAGCGGGCCUAUUCUGGGGCCCGCGCCGAGGCCUGUUGCCCCUUUUAAUAGUGAAAUCUCAGCCUAAGGAGGGCCCUAGAUUCCAGGACCGUGGCCUUAGGAAUGCUGGGAAUCCUAUCCUUCCUGAGUAGCCAGGCCUGGACACCCACACACCAUGAUGGCUCCAGCAACGCAGCCCAGCCUGAGCUCUGACUCAGGGGUGUGACUUCUGCUACAGUCUUCCAAAAUGAGUGGGAGAUGAUAGGAGUGGAUGGCGCCCAGGUGUUCAAUCAGCUGCUCUGCACUGGACACCCCCAGCAAGACCGAGCUGACACCCUCACUGCGGAGA